rnacentral:rRNA from 1 species
UACGGGGGGGGUAAGCGUUGUUCGGAAUUACUGGGCGUAAAGGGCUCGUAGGCGGCCAACUAAGUCAUACGUGAAAUCCCUCAGCUUAACUGGGGAACUGCGUGUGAUACUGGAUGGCUUGGAUUUGGGAGAGGGAUGCGGAACUCCAGGUGUAGCGGUGAAAUGCGUAGAUAUCUGGAGGAACACCGGUGGCGAAGGCGGCAUCCUGGACCAAUAUUGACGCUGAGGAGCGAAAGCUAGGGGAGCAAACGGG